AAUCCAUGAUGUGGGUACCUCCAUAAAAAAUCCUUGAAGCACUCCCAUGUCUCAAACAAGGACUCCAACUCCAUCUGUACAAAUGAUGAUAUCUCAUUAUGAAGCUU